rnacentral:rRNA from 1 species
AUAUUUCUAGAAACACUUUCCAGUACCUCUACUUUGUUACGACUUAUUUCAAUUUAUAAAUGAAAGCGACGGGCAAUAUGUACAUACUUUAAUUUUAAAUCAUUUUAUUAAAUUAAAUAAAAUUACAUUUAAAUCCACUUUCUAUUAACUUUUAAAAAUUAAUUUCCAUUUAAAUAAAUUUAUUGUAAUCCAUUAUAUUCUUAAUUAUAAUCUGCAUCUUGAUCUAAUUUAAUUUUAUAUUUAAAUUUUUAAAUAUUAUUUUUAUUAAAAAAUAUUUAUUUAACAACGAUAUACAAAAUUUUAAAUUAAGUAAAUUUAUUCGUGGAUUAUCAAUUAUUAAACAGAUUCCUCUAAAUGAACUAAAAUACCGCCAAAUUAUUUAAGUUUUAAUAAAUAAUUACCUAAUAUUUUAGUAUUUUAUAUUUUAAAUUUUUAAUAAUAGGGUAUCUAAUCCUAGUUUAUAUAUAAAUUUUAUUAAUUCUAAUAAAAAAAAAAUUCUUUAAAUUAAAAUUUCACUUAAUAAUUCAAAAUUUAAUUUUUUAUUUAAUUAUUUUACUUAAAAUUAAUUACUAAUAAAAUUUAAUUUAAUAUUUGUAUAACCGCAACUGCUGGCACAAAUUUUGUUAUUAAUUUUAAAUAUUACUAAAUAUUAAUUUCUUAAAUUUUUAAUAUUAAUCACUAAAUUAAAAAAAUUAUUAAUUAUCAAAAUUAAUAAAAAUUAUCACUAAAAUUUAUAUGUGAAAUAAAUUUAUAUUAAAUUAAUUCAAACUAUAAAAAAUUUU